UACAUGGGGUGCAAACGUUGCCCGGAAUUAUUGGGCGUAAAGCGCACGUAGGCGGUUUGUUAAGUCGGAUGUGAAAUCCCUCGGCUCAACUGAGGAAGUGCAUCCGAAACUGGCAAGCUUGAGUACGAAAGAGGGUCGCGGAAUUCCCAGUGUAGAGGUGAAAUUCGUAGAUAUCGGGAGGAACACCGGUGGCGAAGGCGGCGACCUGGGUCGAUACUGACGCUGAGGUGCGAAAGCGUGGGGAGCAAACAGG
rnacentral:rRNA from 1 species